GUGCCAGCAGCCGCGGUAAGACGUAGGGCGCGAGCGUUGUCCGGAAUUAUUGGGCGUAAAGAGCUCGUAGGCGGCUUGUUGCGUCGGCUGUGAAAACCCGUGGCUCAACCACGGGCUUGCAGCCGAUACGGGCAGGCUAGAAUUCGGUAGGGGAGACUGGAAUUCCUGGUGUAGCGGUGAAAUGCGCAGAUAUCAGGAGGAACACCGGUGGCGAAGGCGGGUCUCUGGGCCGAUAUUGACGCUGAGGAGCGAAAGCGUGGGGAGCGAACAGGAUUAGAUACCCCUGUAGUCC
rnacentral:rRNA from 1 species